UACGAAGGGGGCUAGCGUUGUUCGGAAUUACUGGGCGUAAAGCGUAUGCAGGCGGCUCGUUAAGUCGGGGGUGAAAUCCCGAGGCUCAACCUCGGAACUGCCUUCGAUACUGGCGACCUUCGAGUCCGGGAGAGGUGAGUGGAACUCCGAGUGUAGAGGUGAAAUUCGUAGAUAUUCGGAAGAACACCAGUGGCGAAGGCGGCUCACUGGCCCGGUACUGACGCUGAGAUACGAAAGCGUGGGGAGCAAACAGG
rnacentral:rRNA from 1 species